GAAGCUAAAGGAUUUAUUCACUUCCUGAGGGGCUCGCGGCCCAUCAGCUUGUUGGUGAGGGUAACGGCCCACCAAGGCGACAACGGGUAGCUGGUCUGAGAGGAUGGUCAGCCACACUGGAACUGAGACACGGUCCAGACACCUACGGGUGGCAGCAGUCGAGAAUCAUUCGCAAUGGGGGAAACCCCGACGAUGCGACGCCGCGUGGAGGAUGAAGGCCUUAGGGUUGUAAACUCCUGUCAAGAGGGAAUAAGCAAGUGAAGGUACCUCUAGAGGAAGGGGCGGCUAAUUCCGUGCCAGCAGCCGCGGUAACACGGAAGCCCCGAGCGUUGUUCGGAUUCAUUGGGCGUAAAGGGUGCGUAGGCGGCGCGGAAAGUCCGGCGUGAAAGGCAGGGGCUCAACCUCUGGACUGCGUUGGAUACUUCCGUGCUUGAGGACUGGAGGGGAGACUGGAAUUCACGGUGUAGCAGUGAAAUGCGUAGAUAUCGUGAGGAAGACCGGUGGCGAAGGCGAGUCUCUGGACAGAUCCUGACGCUGAGGCACGAAGGCUGGGGGAGCGAACAGGAUUAGAUACCCUGGUAGUCCCAGCAGUAAACGAUGUGAGCUUGAUGUGGGGGGAUUCGACCCCUUCCGUGUCGAAGCUAACGCGAUAAGCUCACCGCCUGAGGAGUACGGCCGCAAGGCUAAAACUCAAAGAAAUUGACGGGGACCCGCACAAGCGGUGGAGUAUGUGGCUCAAUUCGAUGCAACGCGAAGAACCUUACCUGGCCUUGACAUGCAUUGUGUCGUCGGUGAAAGCCGGCUAGUCCUGGAAACAGGACGCUUUGCACAGGUGCUGCAUGGCUGUCGUCAGCUCGUGUCGUGAGAUGUUGGGUUAAGUCCCGCAACGAGCGCAACCCUUGUGGUCAGUUACUAACCGGCUUAGCCGGAGGACUCUGGCCAGACUGCCCUGUCAAACGGGGAGGAAGGUGGGGACGACGUCAAGUCAGUAUGGCCCUUAUGGCCAGGGCUGCACACGUACUACAAUGCCCGGUACAAUGUGAACCGAAACCGCGAGGUGGAGGAAAUCGCUCUUGAAAACCGGGCCCAGUUCGGAUUGGAGUCUGCAACUCGACUCCAUGAAGUCGGAAUCG
rnacentral:rRNA from 1 species